AGGACGAACGCUGGCGGCGUGCUUAACACACGCAAGUCGAGCGGUGAUCCUCCUUCGGGAGGUGAUCAGCGGCGAACGGGUGAGUAACACGUGGGCAACCUGCCCCUCACACUGGGAUAACCUCGGGAAACCGGGGCUAAUACCGGAUACGACCUCGAGCGGCAUCUCUUGAGGUGGAAAGCUCCGACGGUGAGGGAUGGGCCCGCGGCCUAUCAGCUUGUUGGUGGGGUAAUGGCCUACCAAGGCGACGACGGGUAGCCGGCCUGAGAGGGCGACCGGGCCACGACUGGGACUGAGACACGGCCCAGACUCCUACGGGAGGCAGCAGUGGGGAAUAUUGCGCAAUGGGCGAAAGCCUGACGCAGCGACGCCGCGUGAGGGAUGAAGGCCUUCGGGUUGUAAACCUCUUUCAGCAGGGACGAAGCGAAAGUGACGGUACCUGCAGAAGAAGCACCGGCUAACUACGUGCCAGCAGCCGC
rnacentral:rRNA from 1 species